UACGGAAGGCAGCAGUGGGGAAUAUUGGACAAUGGGCGAAAGCCUGAUCCAGCCAUGCCACAUGAGUGAAGAAGGCCUUCGGGUUGUAAAGCUCUUUUAGUGAGAAAGAUAAUGACGGUACUCACAGAAGAAGUCCCGGCUAACUCCGUGCCAGCAGCCGCGGUAAUACGGAGGGUGCGAGCGUUAAUCGGAAUUACUGGGCGUAAAGGGCACGCAGGCGGUUAAUUAAGUUGGAUGUGAAAUCCCCGGGCUUAACCUGGGAAUGGCAUUCAAGACUGGUUAGCUAGAGUCUUGUAGAGGGGGUAGAAUUCCAUGUGUAGCGGUGAAAUGCGUAGAGAUGUGGAGGAAUACCGGUGGCGAAGGCGGCCCCUGGACAAAGACUGACGCUCAUGUGCGAAAGCGUGGGGAGCAAACAGGGAUUAGAUACC
rnacentral:rRNA from 1 species